CCCCACCCCCGUCGGUUCCAACCGUGUGCGCCUGACCAUUUUUUCAUUUCGCAGGGAGAAAUACGUGGAGUAGCUAUAAGUUGGCCACGUGGAGGAGCCAUUUUUGGAGGUCAACAGGCAGGAACCACAAGUAUUUGAUCUAGAAGAAAAGAAUUUAAGGGAGUAGAUAUUUGUGAAGAACCAAGAUGAGAAAUAGACAAACCUACUCCAUUUCCAACCUGAAUUUCAUUUGAACCAUGAUAUUCUUCACUAAGAGUUAGAUUGUUCACAUCCGCAGUCAUGUGAUGAGAAGCUCCCGGUCGGGAUGCCAAACAGGGUUUGUGUUAGGCAAUUUGUUGUCAAACGACCCCCUCGGGAUAUGAUGUAACCCCGAUUUUAUUAUCAAUCGACCUUGGCCAUAUGAUUGAUUAGUAUAUCGACACAAUUAUCGAGACAACUCAAUCCACAUUCGUAUGGACCGUUCGAAGCAACCUAUUGUUAAUAGUGUUGCUCACGGUUCGUCCCAUUUUCUUGGAAGGAUAUGUUAUUAAUUUGAAGCCCAUUAUCUUUGAGUCGAGCAUUGUUUGGUCCGCUAAAUAACCCUAACCUAACUUACCUUGUUUGGAUAUUUACUUGGCUUAUACUCUUGUCUUUCUCUCGGCCUCAAAUAGAAGAAUGCCCAACCUCUCUUUGUGAGACUCACCUCUCGGGUCUUCAUCUCUUCUCUGUGACUUUUGUGGUUAAUUGCUAGUGGGCAUAUUAUUGUACAUCAUCUUCCCAACCUAUAGCAACCGAAAGUGGGGCACCCUUCGUGGUGGUAUUAGAGUUGUCUCAAUCCUUGGUGGUGUUUACUAUAUAGGUGAAAUUGAGCCCGGUUUGAACUUGGUGUUUGCUGGAAAUCGGCCCUACAACUGGUAUCAGAGCCUGAGUAACCUUCUCUAGCUAGAAAACCACCAAAAACGGCGGCGGUGUGCGUGAUUUAUAUAGAGGACCGAACCUGCAAUCGCGUUUUCCAGCCAAACUAGUAACUUUCUGACGAAACCGACCACAUAAUUGGAACUAGCAGGCUGAGGCCCCCCUUCCAGUGCGGCGCGUGGUGGCGGCGGCGACGAAGAACUCUGGCGGCGGAGCAUGGGCUUCCGGCGACGAUUUUGGGUGAACUUCCUUCGGGUAGUUUGCUCAUUUCAAUCCCCUGAACGCAUUGACACUGUUUAUUUUCUAUUUCAGGUUACAUAGAAAAAGUUAGACAAUUUUGCCCCUAGUGGAUCGACUGUUGAAACUGCAUAUAUCUACUGAAUUAUUUUAGGCCAAGAUUGCGGCCCUAAAGCAAUAGAUUCGCAUCUCUCUCGAUUAUACGGACUCAGACACGUCCGCUCUGGUAAAUUGGCUUAACCCGUUAAUUUUUCAGCAUUAUAUCGUCACCGUGUGGGGGUGACAAUAGGUUGGGGGUUGUCAUUGCUUGGCAACCAUUGCUUGUGCUAGAAUUAGGGUUAAGUGCUCUUGAUUGUUUUUUGAUUGAGUAUUUAUUUUUGGGUUAAAAUCAGGUUUGUAAUUCUUAGUGAUUUAAUUACUGUAAGACUAGUUAUUUGCUGGACGUAUUUUUUGCUGCAUUGUUAUUUACGCUGCUUACUUAUUCCGAUAGAAAUACCGUGACCUUACCCGUUCGAACAUUCCCUUGAUCUAAGACCGCGAAUCUUACGAAACCCUGUGAAUCUAGAACGGUAUAUAUUGUCUGUGACCCUAGGACUACUUUGUGUGGUUUGAUUGUGGUUUGUGAAUUUUUUGACUGUUGUGUAAAGGUAACAACUCACAACUUUGAUUUGAAAAUUUUUAAUGGAAAUGGUAACUUUACUAUUUGGCAACAAAAAAUGAAGGGUAUUUUAGUCCAACAAAGGAUUUCAAAGGCCAUUGAAGGCAAUUUUUCAACCGAUUUUUCACAAGAACAAAGAGAAGAAGCCGAUGAGCUUGCUUAUACCUCAAUUAUUUUACAUUUGUUUGACGCCAUUUUAAGAAAGGUGGGUAAACUGAAAACCUCUAAAGAACUUUGGAAAAAAUUAGAAGACUUGUAUUUGCUUAAGUCUAUACCGAAUAAACUUUACCUGCUUGAACGUUUUUUCAGUUUCAAAAUGGAUCCUUCAAAGGAUCUUGAUGACAAUUUAGACGUGUUUAACAAAUUGGUGCAAGAUAUAGUUAAUUGUGAUGAGACUGUGUCCGAAACUUAUAAAGCUAUAAUUUUGCUCAAUGCAAUUCCUGAUUCUUAUAAGGAAGUUAAGAACGUCAUUAAGUAUGGUAGAGACACGUUAACACCUGAAAUUAUCAUAGAUUCCCUUAAAAGUAAAGAAACGAAAAUUAGGGCUGAAAAACAUGAUAAGAGGAAUGGUGAGGUACAUAUGAUGAAGGGUAGAACUCAAUUUAGGCAAAAUAGUCAUGAUGGAUAUCAAACAAGUGGCGAAUCAAGUGAUAAUGGAUGGAAAAAGAAGAGCAAAGAUAGGUCUAGAUCAAAAUCUAGGACUAAGGCGAAAAUGCUAUGGUUGUGAAAAUACAGGGCAUUUUAUAAAAGAUUGUCAUAAGGAGAAGGGUAAGCUAAAUGUUAAGGAGAGAGAUGAGGUAAAUGUGUCAGCAUCUACUUUCGAUAUAAAUGAUGGUGAGGUCUAUAUGAUUACAAGUCCAGUUGCAUACAUUGCUGAAUUAAAUCUAAUUGCUAAUUCCCGUAUGCAUGAGUGGAUACUUGACUCUGGUGCAUCUUUUCAUGUGACGUCUAAAAAGAAUUGGUUUUAUAAGUUGCAUGAAUCUAAUGUUGGGCAUGUUGUACUGUGUGAUAACUUUGCCUAUACUAUUGCUGGAAUUGAUGACAUAAACGUAAAAUUUGACACAGGUUUUGUGUAUACGUUAAAGGAUGUUAGAUAUAUUCCUGAGUUGUCUAGGAAUCUGAUUUCAGUAGGAGACUUGAGAAAGAUGACUUUACUGGUAAAAUUGGAAAUGGUAUACUAAAAAUGAUCAAGGGUGCUUUAGUUUCCAUUAAGGGAAUUAAGAAAAACGAUAUAUAUAUUAUUACUGGGGAAGUGAUUAGAGGUGUGAGCCCUUCUAUCUCCUCUGCCAAGAUUGAUCACACACACAUGGCAUAAUAGACUUGCUCACGUAGGAGUCAAGGGACUUGAGCUACUUAAUGAAAAAGAUACUUUUGGUAAUGACUAUGUGUCAGAUUUGCCAUUUUGUGAUCAUUGUGUGCUUGGUAAGCAUCAUAAAACUUCUUUCUCCACGAGUGUUAAUAGAGCUAAAGGCAUGCUCGAAUAUGUGCACUCUAAUCUAUGGGGUCCUGCUAGUAAUCUCACAUCGGGUGGGAAUAGGUAUUUCCUGUCUAUUAUCGAUGACUACACUAGGUAAGUGUGGGUCUAUCUUUUGAAGGAUAAAUCUGAGACCUUUAAUAGUUUUAACAAUUGGAAGAGACAAGUGAAAAAUUAAACUGGCAAGAAAAUUAAAAUUUUAAGGACAGAUAACGGCCUAGAAUUCUGCAAUAAGGAAUUUGAUAAUAUGUGUAAAGAAAGCGGCAUAACUAGACAUAAGACUGUUUCUUACACUCAACAAAAUAGGGUAGUAGAAAGGAUGAAUAGGACCAUACUUGAUAAAGUACGUUGCAUGAUGAUUAGUUCUGGUGUUCCCAAAUCAUUUUAGGGUGAGGCUGUUAUGACCGCUUGUUAUUUGAUUAAUCUGAUUCCUUCUGCUGCAUUGAAUG
rnacentral:lncRNA from 1 species